AUGGGGAAAGCUAGAAGAGAGGGAGUAGACAUGGCGUCGGAGAUGGUGCUCAGGAGGAUCCAUUCCAUCUGCUGUCUCGCCGGCGACCGCCAAGCGCAGUUGUUCGGCAGCGAGGAGGGGAUCCAUUGUCUCAUUUCUCCUGUCAGCCAUCCAUCAUUCUGCAGCAAUGCAUAUGAGCAAGCCGGUGCGGGCAACCCAAGCAAGUUCAUCUUGCAGGUGAAGGAGCUCCCCUUCAGUUUAUCUUGCAGGUGUGUUUGGGCAGUACAAACACAUCGCCAUAGUUUGUACAUAUUAUCUCUGGAUACAAAGAGAGAAAGAAAUCUCCAGCCAACUUGCCUUGAAACAAAUCAAGCCCUAUUUUUGGUUGUCAUCGAGCAACAAGAAAACAGCCCCCAGGUCGUUCAUAGCCCCCACCGAGGCCGUUCAACGAGGGGGCAUUCAACAACGCAGCGGUCAGAAGCUUUUUCUCGUUUUCUCCCGCCUCUGUAA
rnacentral:rRNA from 1 species